UUUUUUUAUUUUUUGGUCAUUUUUUUAGGGUUGCAUCCAUGGUAUAUGGAGAUUCCCAGGUUAGGGGUCAAAUCUGAUCUGUAGCUGCUGGCCUACGCCACAGCGACAGCAAUGGAAGAGCCAAGUCGCACCUGUGACCUACUUAGCUUAGGCAACGCCAGAUUCUUAACCCACUGAGCAAGGCCAGGCCAGUGGCUACAGCUCCAAUUUGACCCAUAGCCUGGGAACCUCCAUGUGCCAUGGAUGUGGCCCUAAAAAGACAAAGUAAAUAAAUAAAUACAUAAAUAAAUAAAAAUAAAGAGGAGCACAUACAUACCUAUGAACAAAUACAGAAUAUUUAGUGGGACAGCUACAAUUAAAACUGUCCAAAACUGGAAGAAAUAGGUCUCUUUGUGAAGAAACUGAGUUUUUCGUCUCUAAAAAUGUUUUAGAAGAAGCUAGAACUCUGCUUAGCUUUGUAUACAGUAAAAUUAUACUUACUGAUAUACGGGAAAUGUAAAUAUCACCUGAGAAUGUUUGAAGGUUCUCCUUUGAUUAGAUUAUUAUCCUUCUGGCUGGGGUAGGGACUGAGUGUUGUGGAAGUGAGAAUCCAGGGAUACUGCAUGGAGUAGGGAGAAGUUGAACUUGGGCCUUUAGUAAAGGGUAGCUAGGACUUUAAACAGUAGAGGUAAGAAUAAUAGUCCUUCUUUUUAUACAAUGUACUCUGAUUUAUAAUUUUUAUUCCAAUUCUAUAGGAAAGGAAGAUUGCACCUCAGUUUGGAAGAGGGAUAAAGAAGGAACAUUUAUCAUAUACUUAAUGAUGUGCCAAGUACAGAAUCAGGUAGUUCACACAGCUUCCCACAUGCAAGCUUAAAAAUGACCAAUUUAAAGUCCUACUUUAUAGAUAAUAAAACUAGAUCUGGAGAAGAAAUGAGGAAGGGAUCUAUCAUUUAUUGAAUAUUUAUGUAUCUACAAGCAAUAAAAGAACUGCCAUUCCUUUCAGAUCUGCUAGAAUUUCAUGUCUUAUAGGGCUAUUUUACUUCUGUGGCCACUAGGAGCUUUACCUAGGUGUUUCUUGCAAAACUAAUAUUAUUUUUCACAGCAACACACCAAUGCUCCGAAAUUUAGCUUAUGUGGCUAGGAAGUGGUGAAGCUGGAGUUUGAUUUCACAGAGAUCAUGUUCUUCCAUGAAAUCUGGCUAUCCUACUUAGACGAAAGAUGCAAAAUGAGGAGCUAACAGGGUUAGACUUUAUUCUGUAAGCAGUUAUUGUUAGUCAUGGUGGUCUAUGAGCAAGAGAAUGGCAGAAUCAAAGGUCAGCUUUAGAGAUAACUCCCAGAAAGAGAGACUGGGCAUACUGGAGGAAAAAGAUAUUAGAUGCAGAUAUACCAGGUACAAGGCCAUCAGGUAUUACUUCCAGAGAUAAUAGGAACACUCAAAAUAUCCAUAUAGGCUGUGAAUCAUCAGAGAAAUGUGUGGUUUCAUCCAUCCUGGGCAGAGGCAUGGAAAAGACUAGCAAGUCUUGAGCCCAGAAGUAAAUAUUUACUGAGUAGCCACUUCCUAAGUGGCAAAGAACAUGGGAACGUACAAAGGAGAGAAGAAAUAGCAAUGUCUUGAAGAAAGGGAUCCUAUUGGAAAUGAUGAAUAUCAUUUCCAUUCAAUACAGAGUAAUCUUUUUAACUAACCAACUGAAAAUAAAGAAAACAAAUUAACAGGGGUAGGUAUGAGAACUUAAAGAUUUAUUCAUUCAGCCAAAAUUCAUCAGUCAAUUUUCAUGUGCUGAGGACAGUACUUCCAUGAGAGAUGCUAAGAAACAGUCUCUGAUUAAAAUAAAUUUAAGCCUAGAAAAAAAGGAAGUGAAGUGAGUAGAUAACAUGAGUUGUUGUGUUGUAUUUUAAACCUGGUUUGAGGAGGUCCCAAGCUGGAAAGGUCUCUCGGGGCCUGGCAGAAUCAAAAGCAAAUCCCUUCUGGAGGAAGACAAUUUCAUCCUAAGCUUCAAAGAGUCAUUAUGAAUCAUUGUCAAGGGUAAUGAGCAGCAUAAAAUCUAAGAAAAUGUUGCAUACAGGGAAACAAGGUACCAUGAGCAAGAACUAGUUAAAAAAAAAAAAAAAAGCUGAUAGCAGUAACAGCAUACAAAGCAGCAAGAAUGUUUUCCAUGUGUAAGGAAACAAAUGGAAACUUGAUAGAAUCUUCCAGAGAUUAUUUUAAAAGUGACCUAACAGAUUGGUAAAAGAACCAAAGAGAAAAUCAAGUAGUAGCCUCGGUAGUAGCAAUAAUAAUAAUAAAACCAGAAUUAAAACUUCAAUAGAGAGACAAGUCAGAAAAAGGCACUGAUGAGUGGACUGUAGAUCAGGAGAAAUUAUACAGAACAAAGUGCAGAGAUACAAAAAAAGACAUGGACUAGAGAUGAAGAGACAGGAAUGAAGGUCUAAAUUAUGCUUAACUGGAGCUCCCGAAGCAUAUGUGGCAGAGAAGGUGACAGAGGCUAAGAGGUUUCAAGAUGGAAGGAUGCCAAUUCACAAAUUCAAGCAACAUCUUUGGUCUUCAAGACACCAUUGAGACAAAGAGAAAUAAGGUAUCAUCUUGCUUUAUAACUCCAGGAGGCAAAUUGGCUUAGCUUUUCCUUAUAACCUCUGUUUUCUCUGAGAUCUUUAGAUAUCUUCCCCCCUCCUUUUUUUUUUUUCAACACCCUCCCCCCCAUCCCCUGCUCCAGACAGGUGACCUAUGGAAGUUCAAAGGGUGCAGGGUAGAGUUGGAAUCAGAGCUGUAGCUGCUGGCCUACACCGCAGCCGUAGCAAUGUGGAAUCUGAGCCUCAUCUGUGACUUAGACCACAGCUCACGCAAUGCCAGAUCCUUAACUCACUGAUCGAGGCCAGGGAUCGAACCCAUGUCCUCAUGGAUACUAGUUGGGUUCGUUACUGCUCAGCCACGAUGGGCACUCCCUCCCCCUUUUUAUAGUGUUGUGAAUAAGGCUCAGCAGAAUCCCCACACAAGUCUCCAGACCUCUGGCACCACCAGAAGAGAAGUUUUCAAUUUCAAGGAAAUAAAGGAGCUGAAGAGAUUCUCAUCAUGCUCCUAACCAAGGUAUUCUCAGAUCACUGAACUAUUUCCACAUUUCCAGGAAGAACAAGUAACCACAACACAGCCCUGCUUAAAGUUCCUUUCUUCAGGAGCCUUGCUUCUUUCUGUUAUUUAAAGGAAAUAGAGAAACUUGAUCUAGGGUAUAACAAAGACAGCAAAAGAACAUUGUCUUGGAUUUUUCCAAAGGCCCAGCAUUUCUUGCCCAGGGGAAGUAAUAAAAUUGUGUCAGAGCAUAGCUUCUAAAGGAUAGUCCAAGUAAUUUCUGCAAGGUUUGAUCAUCAGCCAUAAGCAUAAUUCUGGUGUCAAGCAAUCACCUCCCCGUCACUAGUCCCCUCAUUUGGAGAGUAAAAGUGCAGCCAUGUCUGCAUGUGGUAAAGCAGUGUCUCUAAUAGGAAAUUAAGAGUGUGUGCAUCUACGAACCCCCGACUCCCAGUCCAUCCCACUCCCUCCCCCUCCCCCUUGGCCACCACAACCACAAGUUAGUUCUCCAAAUCCAUGAGUUUGUUUCUUUUCUGUAGAUAUGGAUAAUGUGAGGAAAAAAAGGUCAUAUAUAUUUUUAUGUAUAUAUAUGUGUGUGUGUGUGUGUGUGUGUAUGACUGGGUCACUUUGCUGUACAGCAGAAAUUGACAGAACAUUGUCAAUCAACUAUAAUAGAAAAAGUAAAAACCUUAAAAAAAAAAGUGUGUGAAAACUUUUCACGCUGUGAAAUUUGUAUAUAUUGCAAUCAAAGUAACGAGAAUGUGGGCUAAUUCAGGGAGGGGAAGGUAUUACCUAAGAUUAGAUCUGACACCAAUGGGUGCCCCAAAUUACAGUGUAUUAAAUAAUAAAGAGGUUUGAUUUCCUUUUAUCAAAAGUUUGGGGUGAAAGAAAAGGGCCGCUAGAGCAACUCUGUUUCCUGAAAAUUUCAAGCCGUCAGGCUUCUACUCCUUCCCUGCCUCACAUGGCUAACCUGCCAUAUAAUGACCCAAGAUGGUUGCCUGAAUUCCAGCCAUCAUGACCAAAUUCCCAUCCAUAGGAAGACUUAAAGGACACACCACCCUUCUUCCUUCAGGGCCGCUUUUCAGAAGUUGACACACUGUAUAUCCUUAUACCUCAACAGCCAGAAUUUAGUCUCACGGACACUUCUAGAAGGAAAAUAAAUUUCCUCUUAACUCUGGGCAAUUCUCUGCCAACCCAGCUAAAAAAUGCUCCUCGGAAGGGAAGACUAUUACUGUGGAAGAAAAAGAACAGCCAUUAAGGGACAAUUCUUAGCUUUUGCCACGGGGAGACAUCCCUAAUCCUACCAGCUAAACACAAUUAGAUUUUAUAACACAUAAACACAAGUAAAUAUACUAAAGCAACCAGAAAAAGCACAACAGCUAGGUUCCAUGAAUGCUGCUAAGAGUUUUCUGGGUACUAACUCAUUUGAACAUCACAACUCUAGGAUACAGACAUUGCAAUCAUCCCCAUUUCACCAAAGACUCUGCAGUAGAAAGUAAAUCAUAUGUCCAAGUUAGAGUACAGGCAAGUGGGAGACACAUGAGCCAAAUCCAGGCAGCCUGGCUCCAGGGUCCUUACUUUUAACCACAAAGCAGUACUGUUUCUCACACUUAAAAAAAUUAAUUGGAUGUGUGUAUGUGUGCAUGUGUAUGUGUGUAUAUUUAAGCCAGUGUUUUUAUGUACUGGGAGAAAACAUCCAAUUAAGAGGCUAUUGCCUGUAACAUAAGAGAGCUUGAUUUUGUAAGCCUGAACUAUUAAACUAUGGCAUUUCAAUAAAUGUCUUUUAAGACACUGUAAUAUGUAUUCAUAAUAGAGGGUUUAACCUGGCAGAACUAACAGCCAGUGUCUGCAUAAUUACACACCUCCAUGUGCUUAUAGACAGUAAUUUCAGGCAAAGAACUGUUGAAACUGAGCAAGAAGCAGCCAGCCCAGGCUCAGGGUGCCUCAUAAUCAGAAGUAAUUAAGAAACCAUGCCCUUUCUGGGCAUCAUGAAUUAAAAACCAUGGUUGAGCAAUUAAAAUUCCAAUCUUCCGCUGCAAAAAAAAAAAAAAAAAAAAAAAAA
rnacentral:lncRNA from 1 species